rnacentral:rRNA from 1 species
UACGGGGGGGGCAAGCGUUGUUCGGAAUUAUUGGGCGUAAAGGGCGCGUAGGCGGCUGUGUAAGUCAAAGGUGAAAUCCCUCGGCUCAACUGAGGAACUGCCUUUGAAACUGCUCAGCUUGAGGCCGGGAGGGGGUGGUGGAAUUCCCAGUGUAGCGGUGAAAUGCGUAGAUAUUGGGAGGAACACCAGUGGCGAAGGCGGCCACCUGGACCGGUUCUGACGCUGAGGCGCGAAAGCGUGGGGAGCAAACAGG